CAGACGCCCUCUUUCUUGCGUCGGCUUCUACAAACCCCAUGUUCCUUUCAGGAUACCUCAAGAGUAUCUCGGGCUGUACCCCAUUGAACGUAUUAAGCUUCCACCUAACCACGAGCUGCCGGCUGAGCUGCCGCCUGUGGCUUGGAAUCCUUGGACUGACGUCAGAAAGCGCCACGACGCCAGCCUCCUCAACGUCAGCUUUCCGUACGGCCCUCUCCCAGUUGACUUCCAGAAAGAAAUACGCCGACAUUACUAUGCUGCGGUUACGUACAUGGACGAGCAAGUGGGAAGGGUUCUGACUGCGCUCGAUGAGGCUGGGCUUCGGAACGACACGCUCAUCGUCUUCGUAGGCGAUCACGGAUGGUCACUCGGCGAGCACCAGGAGUACAGCAAGUUCAGCAACUUCCAAAUGGCCACGAACAUACCCUUGAUCGUGUCACCACCAAGGUCCCAAAGAAGCUCGCCACGAGGAAAAGGGGCUGAACGCGUCGACGACCCGGUGGCAUUGGUUGACCUGUUCCCAACACUGGCGUCUCUAGCGUCGCUUCCAGGUGCCUCCCAGCUGCCGGUCCUCUGGUGGUUCGUCGCAGAGUGAAACGACCUGCACGGAUGGCAUAAACUUGGUUCAUCCAGUGCAACGAAAGGAGGUGCUGCACCAGUACCCGCGGCCUUCGGAUACCCCGCAGGAGAACAGCGAUCAGCCGGCACUCGAAGAUAUCCGCAUCAUGGGCUACUCCAUGUUGUCGCGCGAUUACCGCUACACCGAGUGGAUCGGCUUUGACCCGACCAACUUCCGCCGAAACUGGACCAGCGUUUACGCCCGUGAGCUGUACAACUUGAGCUCCGACCCCCGCGAAGACCGCAACGUGGCGGGAUCGCCAGAAUACAAAGACGUCGUCGUCGCGUUGUCCUCCAGGCUUCGCGAACUUGUUGGUAGCUGAGUGGUUUCCAACGACGCUCGUAUAGCGCGAGUUGUGAAAUAAAUGUGCGUGCUCUCG
rnacentral:lncRNA from 1 species